CCUACGGGAGGCAGCAGUGGGGAAUAUUGCACAAUGGGGGAAACCCUGAUGCAGCGACGCCGCGUGAGUGAAGAAGUAUUUCGGUAUGGAAAGCUCUAUCAGCAGGGAAGAAAAUACCGGUACCUGAUUAAGCAGCCCCGGCUAAAUACGUGCCAGCACCCGCGGUCAUACGUAGGGGGCAAGCGUUAUCCGGAUUUACUGGGUGUAAAGGGAGCGUAGACGGCAGCACAAGUCUGGAGUGAAAAGCCGGGGCUUAAACCCGGAACGGCUGUGGAAACUGUGUAGCUAGAGUGCAGGAGAGGUAAGUGGAAUUCGUAGUGUAGCGGUGAAAUGCGUAGAUAUUAGGAGGAACACCAGUGGCGAAGGCGGCUUACUGGACUGUAACUGACGUUGAGGCUCGAAAGCGUGGGGAGCAAACAGGAUUAGAUACCCCUGUAGUC
rnacentral:rRNA from 1 species